rnacentral:lncRNA from 1 species
GUAACCCGAGCACUGGGGGACUGGGAUAUGAAGUUCCCCCGGGGCUCUGCAUCACCGCUCAUUGCAGAGCCAGAAUUCAGGCAGGUGGCAUUAACAGAGGAGGACGAAUUCCUCAUCAUUGGGUGUGAUGGUAUUUGGGAUGUGAUGUCUAGUCAGGAGGCAGUUAGCCUUGUGCGUCGUGGCCUACGGCGGCAUGAUGACCCAGAGCAGUCUGCAAGGGACCUUGUCAUGGAGGCUCUGCGCCUCAACACAUUUGACAAUCUCACUGUUAUUGUCAUUUGUUUUUCUUCUCCUGAUCAGUUUGAACCAACACCUCCACGACAACGCAGAUUCAGGUGCUGCAACAUCUCCAUGGAGGCCCUUUGCAGUUUGAGGAGCUUAUUGGACAACAAUGGCAACCGAUGAUGGAUGUACAUAUAAUUAUUUGAAUAAAACCUCUCUUGUCAGGAGGGGUAUACUGUUUGUUGCUGCUUCAGUUUAAUGCUCGAAAAAGCAGCU